rnacentral:rRNA from 1 species
UACGAAGGGGGCUAGCGUUGCUCGGAAUUACUGGGCGUAAAGGGCUCGUAGGCGGCCAACUAAGUCGGAUGUGAAAUCCCUCGGCUUAACCGAGGAACUGCCGUCCAAACUGCUUAGCUUGAGACCGGGAGAGGUGAGUGGAAUUCCCAGUGUAGCGGUGAAAUGCGUAGAUAUUGGGAGGAACACCAGUGGCGAAGGCGGCUCACUGGACCGGAACUGACGCUGAUGCGCGAAAAGCGUGGGGAGCAAACGGGG